rnacentral:lncRNA from 1 species
CAUGAGUGUGGAUCUGGCUUGUCUGCAAAGCUUGCCUUGCUUCGAAGCAUCCGACUGUAAAGAAUCUUAACCUAUGGCUGUGAUUUGUGGGCCUGAAGAAAACUAUCCAUCCUUGCAAAUGUCUUCUGCUGAGAUGCCUCACACGGAGACUGUCUCUCCUCUUCUUCCUCCAUGGAUCUGCUUAUUCAGGACAGCCCUGAUUCUUCCACCAGUCCCAAAGGCAAACAACCCAUUGCUGCAGAGAAUAAUGCCCCAAAAAAGGGAGACGAGGUCCCAGUCAAGAAACAGAAGACCAGAACUGUGUUUUCUUCCACCCAGCUGUGUGUACUCAAUGAUAGAUUUCAGAGACAGAAAUACCUUAGCCUCCAGCAGAUGCAAGAACUCUCCAAUAUCUGGAACCUCAGCUACAAACAGGUGAAGACCUGGUUCUAGAACCAGAGAAUGAAAUCUAAGAGGUGGCAGAAAAACAACUGGCCGAAGAAUAGCAAUGGUGUGACUCGGAAGGCCUCAGCACCUACCUACCCCAGCCACUACUCUUCCUACCACCAGGGAUGACUGGUGACCUGACUGGGAACCUUCCAAUGUGGAGCAACCAGACCUGGAACAAUUCAUCCUGGAGCAACCAGACCCAGAACAUCUAGUGCUGGAGCAACCACUCCUGGAACACUCAGACCUGGUGCACCCAGUCCUGGAACAAUCAGGCCUGGAACAGUCCCUUCUAUAACUGUGGAGAGGAAUCUCUGCAGUCCUGCAUGCAGUUCCAGCCAAAUUCACCUUCCAGUGACUUGGAGGCUGCCUUGGAAGCUGCAGGGGAAGGCCUUAAUGUAAUAAGCAAAUGACUAGGUAUUUUAGUACUCCACAAACCAUGGAUUUAUUCCUAAACUACUCCACGAACACGCAA